rnacentral:lncRNA from 1 species
AGGGACAUUUAUACCUAUAUCCCAUUAGAGACAUUCUCGAUAGCAGAAUACUCUGAAGUUGGUCACGUUCAAUGAUGAUGUAUCCUUAUAUCUCAUCUGUAUGCCAUACCAGUGUCUCCACACUCUUUGAUUAAGAGGACAACCAACCCAUAUGGCCUACAGCGACCUAUACUCGAUAGAAGCUGCCGUCCUUAUUAACAGCCC